rnacentral:rRNA from 1 species
GACAGAGGGUGCAAACGUUGUUCGGAAUUACUGGGCGUAAAGGGUCUGUAGGUGGCUUGCUAAGUCAGACGUGAAAUCCCUCAGCUUAACUGGGGAACUGCGUCUGAUACUGGCAGGCUUGAGUGCAGGAGAGGAACGCGGAAUUCCAGGUGUAGCGGUGAAAUGCGUAGAUAUCUGGAGGAACACCGGUGGCGAAGGCGGCGUUCUGGACUGCAACUGACACUGAGAGACGAAAGCCAGGGGAGCAAACGGG